rnacentral:rRNA from 1 species
AUGUGUGUACCAAAGGAGAGAGGAGGUAUGGGGUUCUGUGACGUGCCUAGCUUUACUUUGGCCAUGUUAGCCAAAUAAGUCUGGAGGUUGAUUGAGAAUUAUGAUUCACUACGUGCCCAUGCAUUGAGAGCGAGGUAUUACCCUCCAUGCGAUCUCAUAAACUGUGUUCUAAAGAAGGGGUCAUCUUUUGUUUGGCAGGGCAUCUGGGCAGGAAUACAAACAUUCAAAAGAGGGUGUAUAUGGAGAGUGGACAAUGGUGCAAAGAUAGACAUUUGGAGUGAUCUAAUUGAUCCUACUUCUGGUGAAUAG